rnacentral:rRNA from 1 species
GAUGAACGCUAGCGGGAGGCCUAACACAUGCAAGCCGAGCGGUAUUGUUUCUUCGGAAAUGAGAGAGCGGCGUACGGGUGCGGAACACGUGUGCAACCUGCCUUUAUCUGGGGGAUAGCCUUUCGAAAGGAAGAUUAAUACUCCAUAAUAUAUUGAUUGGCAUCAAUUAACAUUGAAAGCUCCGGCGGAUAGAGAUGGGCACGCGCAAGAUUAGCUAGUUGGUGAGGUAACGGCUCACCAAGGCGAUGAUCUUUAGGGGGCCUGAGAGGGUGAUCCCCCACACUGGUACUGAGACACGGACCAGACUCCUACGGGAGGCAGCAGUGAGGAAUAUUGGUCAAUGGGUGCAAGCCUGAACCAGCCGUCCCGCGUGAAGGACGACUGCCCUAUGGGUUGUAAACUUCUUUUGUAUAGGGAUAAACCUACCCUCGUGAGGGUAGCUGAAGGUACUAUACGAAUAAGCACCGGCUAACUCCGUGCCAGCCGCCGCAGUAAGAC